UCUAUUUUGGCAGAUAAGUGCAAUGGAUUUAGAAUCCAUUUAUGUAAAUAAAUUUUACAGAUAGAA
rnacentral:tRNA from 1 species